GAUGAACGCUGGCGGCGUGCCUAAUACAUGCAAGUCGAGCGAACAGACGAGGAGCUUGCUUCUCUUACGUUCGCGUCGGACAGGUGAGUAAAAUGUGGAUAACCUACCUAUAAGACUGGGAUAACUUCGGGAAAACGGAGCCAAUACCGGCUAACAUCUUGAACCGCAUGGUUCAAUACUGAAAGACCGUUUUGCUUUCAAUUAUCGAUUGAUCCGUGCCCCAUUAGCUAGUUGGUAAGGUAACGGCUUACCAAGGCAACGAUGAGUAGCCGACCUGAGAGGGUGAUCGGCCACACUGGAACUGAGACACGGCCCAGACUCCUACGGGAGGCAGCAGUGGGGAAUCUUCGGCAAUGGGCGAAAGCCUGACGGAGCAACGCCGCGUGAGUGAUGAAGGUCUUCGGAUCGUAAAGCUCUGUUAUUAGGGAAGAACAGAUGUGUGAGUAACUAUGCAGGUCUUGACGGUACCUAAACAGAAAGCCCCGGCUAACUACGUG
rnacentral:rRNA from 1 species